CCCGCGAUAGCUCAGUCGGUAGAGCCAUCAGACUUUUAAUCUGAGGGUCCAGGUUCAAGUCCCUGUUUCGGGG
rnacentral:tRNA from 1 species